UCUCGCUUUCUUUCUCUCGUUCGCUCGUGCGUUCGUUCUGUUUCGCUCGCGUGUGCGGUGAGCCUGACGCGAUCUUUCAACGCAGAAUCGCGGAGGAUUCCCGGGCUGGAGGACAAAAUGCCAAAAUGCCCAAGUGCGUUUUCCUCGCGCUGACACGCGAAACGGCGUGGAUGCGACGGAACCGGGCGACGCAACCGACUCGACGCUCGUUUCGAUCAAGUCGCCGAUCGCGCCGUUCCACGUUAAGCGAUUUUACGUUACAUUGGUCUCCUUCGAUUUUUGUCGCGCCUAUCAAGCCGAGAGAACCUUAAUUCUCGUAGUAGCUGAUCCAACGGAUAAUUAACGACCAAGAAAUUCAUCUGACCCACACGUUGAGGUGCCGAGAGAUCCGAGCGAGCGAACGGCACGUUACCGAUCGCGAUCGUACACCGCCAACGAGCAUCAUGUGAAAGCUCGCAUCGCGAUGUUGUAAAUGAAAAAAAAGUGCGGUAACCCCGCUGCGCCUCGGCGCGGCUGCGUCGCGUCGUUGUUUAUCUUCCCAUGGAAGUCGUUUUGUACUCCGAGCUGUCCCUCCUCGUCGCCGCCGCCGCCGCCGCCGCCGCCGUUGCCAGGAUGUACUCGCGAAGCGAAGCGGAAGCGCUGCGAUAAACCGCUCGGCUGCGUACGCCGCAUCUCCCGGGCUCGGAAUCGUCGCGUUUAUUUACAAUCCGUCGCCUAUAACCUGUCCUGUCCGCGGAUUUCGUGCGAAAGAUCUCCGUCAGCGAAAUCCUCGCCCGACAACGAUGUUCAAUGUGUGCAACCUGCCGAUAAAAUAGACAAACAUCUUGUCGCGAAUCAAUCUUCCACUUUAUUGGGUGUAUCUGCGUGUCUUACAUUUCUCUAUUGAUUCCACGAGUUAAUCUUGAAGUUAAUUUCAAAUUCUGCGAUUUGAUCGGUGUAAUGAGACUGUAAAAUUGUCGAUGUUACGAACUGUAGCUAAUAAUGAUUUGUAAUGCGCCAUAAAGAGUGGAUACAUUGUUAUGAAACUUUUAGACUUGUACCUAAAUGGAAACAUUGAGGAACGGCUUUAUAUAGUGUGAUUAAAAAUGGAUCACGUGCAGGAAGUACGGCAGCUGGAAUUGCUAUGCAAGCAACUGUACGAGUCGCAGGAUUCGGCGCAUCGCGCGGAAGCGGAGAAGGCCUUGGUUGCUUUUCAAAAUGCACCAGAUACGCUUACAAAGUGCCAGCUUCUUCUGGACCGUGGGGACUCCGCGUAUGCUCAAUUACUGGCCGCCACCACUUUGACGAAGCUGGUGUCACGCUCGGCGCAGGGACAGCUUACGACAACACUCAGCUUACAACAGAGGCUCGAUAUACGAAACUACGUACUCAACUACUUAGCAACGCAACCAAAGUUACCGAAUUUUGUGAUACAGGCUUUGGUUACGCUAUUCGCUAGGAUAUCAAAGCUUGGGUGGUUCGAUUCCGAUAAAGAGGAAUUUGUUUUCAGAAACGUAGUCAGCGAUGUAGCGAAGUUUCUUCAGGGGUCAGUGGAGCAUUGUAUGAUAGGAGUACAGUUGCUGUCUCAGUUGACAUGUGAAAUGAAUCAAAUAUCGGAAGCCGAUGCGAACAGAUCUUUGACAAAACAUAGAAGAAUAGCGAGUAGUUUUAGAGACACACAACUAUUUGAAAUAUUUAGGUUAUCGUGUACUUUACUGAGUACAGCUCGUGAAAAUUGUAAGAGUUUAAAUUUCAACGAUGAAGGGCAGCAUGGUUUGAUAAGACAACUGUUAAAGCUUGCACAAAACUGUUUGACAUUUGACUUUAUCGGCACGUCAACCGAUGAGAGUUCGGACGAUCUUAAUACAGUACAAAUCCCGACAAGCUGGAGGCCUGCAUUUUUGGAUUUCACCUCGUUGAAGUUGUUUUUUGAUCUGUAUCACAGUCUACCUAAUACAUUGUCGUGUUUGGCUCUUUCAUGCUUGGUUCAAAUAGCGUCCGUCAGACGGAGUCUAUUCUCUAAUACCGAAAGGGCGAAAUUUCUGACGCACUUAGUCAACGGUAUUAAGCAUAUACUACAAAAUCCUCAAGGUCUUAGUGAUCCAGGAAACUAUCAUGAGUUUUGUAGAUUAUUAUCUCGACUGAAAAGCAAUUUCCAACUCGGCGAGUUGGUCUUGGUGGAGGAUUAUCCCGAAGCAAUACAACUGAUCGCAAAGUUUACAGUGCAGAGCUUACAGAUGUGGCAAUUUGCGCCGAACAGCUUGCACUAUCUUUUGACCCUAUGGCAAAGAAUGGUAUCUUCAAUGCCAUAUGUAAAAGCGGGCGAUCCACAUUUAUUGAAUACGUACACACCAGAAGUUACGAACGCGUACAUCACAUCAAGACUUGAAUCGGUAGCGGUAGUAGUCAGAGAGCGUCUGGAGGAUCCAUUGGAUGAUCUAGGAGUGGUCCAUCAUCAAUUAGAACAAAUAUCGGUCAUCGGUAGAUGCGAAUAUCAGAAAACGUGCACCUUGCUAGUCCAAUUGUUUGAUCAAGCUGCAAGAACGUACCAGGAAUUAAUGACGCAAACAGUAUCACCGACGCAACAGAUUGAUAUUGCAAUUCAAGAAGGACAGCUUACGUGGCUUGUAUAUAUCAUAGGUGGUGUUAUCGGCGGAAGAGUUGCAUUUAAUAGCAACGAAGAGUUCGACGCUAUGGAUGGAGAAUUAGUUUGCAGAGUAUUACAAUUGAUGAACCUGACUGAUUCGAGACUCGCGCAGGGUGGCUGUGAGAAAUUGGAAUUGGCGAUGUUGAGUUUUUUCGAGCAAUUUCGGAAAAUCUACGUCGGCGAUCAAGUUCAAAAAAAUUCUAAAGUAUACAGGAGAUUGUCUGAUGUGUUGGGUCUUAAUGAUGAGGCAAUGGUACUCAGCAUCUUCAUUCGAAAGAUAAUAACGAAUUUGAAGUACUGGGGUAGGAGCGAACAAAUUAUUUCCAAAACGCUACAACUUUUAAAUGAUUUAUCAGUUGGUUAUAGCUGUGUUCGUAAACUUGUCAAAUUAGAAGAAGUACAAUUUAUGCUCAACAAUCAUACGCGAGAACACUUUCCAUUUUUGGGAAACAAUGUUGCUGUGACAGAAAUGCGCUGUAGAUCAAUGUUUUACACAUCUCUUGGUAGAUUACUGAUGGUAGAUUUAGGUGAAGAUGAGGAAAGAUUUCAUACUUUUAUGCUACCUCUAACAGGUGCAUUGGAGAGCCUUGGUCAAUUAAUGGGUGCUGCAGAUACACCUCUUUUUGCAGCAGAGGAAGCAAAGAAAGCGUUAAUUGGUUUGGCUCGGGAUCUUAGAGGUUUAGCUUACGCAUUCAACACCAAAACAUCCUAUAUGAUGCUUUUUGAUUGGAUAUACCCGAAUUAUACACCGAUUUUAUUACAUGCUGUGGAGUUGUGGCAUCAUGAACCGCAAGUGACAACACCCGUCCUGAAGUUAUUUGCUGAAUUAGUACAAAAUAGGAGUCAACGAUUACAAUUCGAUGCGUCGUCUCCAAACGGGAUUUUGUUGUUCCGCGAGGCCAGCAAAAUAAUAUGUAGCUACGGCAAUCACAUAUUGAACGUUGAAGUACCCAAGGAUCAGAUCUAUCCAUUAAAACUGAAAGGAAUAAGUAUAUGUUUCAGUAUGUUAAAGGCAGCCUUAUGUGGAAGUUACGUAAAUUUUGGAGUGUUUAGGCUAUAUGGUGAUGAAGCGUUGGACAAUGCUCUUAAUACAUUUGUCAAAUUACUUCUUAGUAUUCCUCAAAGUGAUCUUUUGCAUUAUCCGAAAUUGUCGGCAACAUAUUAUAUGUUACUUGAAUGUCUGGCGCAAGAUCACAUGGUCUUUUUAUCCACUUUGGAACCUAGAGUUUUUCUCUACAUCCUCUCUAGUAUCAGCGAAGGGCUUACAGCACUAGAUACUAUGGUCUGCACGGGUUGUUGUGCAACUCUUGACCAUAUUGUAACAUAUUUGUUUAAACAGCUUUAUCAAAAAGGAUAUCCAGGAAGAAAAAAUGCAGUUGUUCCUGGAGGAGGAGAAUUAUUUUUACAAGUUUUGAAGCAACAUCCUGAAAUAUUGCAACAAAUUUUAAGUACUGUUUUAAAUGUGAUAAUGUUUGAGGAUUGUAGAAAUCAAUGGAGCAUGUCUCGUCCUUUAUUAGGUCUCAUAUUAUUAAACGAAGACUAUUUUAAUCAAUUAAGAGAAAAUAUUAUUAGAAGUCAACCAGUUGAUAAACAAGCAGCGAUGGCCCAAUGGUUUGAAAAUUUAAUGAACGGCAUUGAGAGAAAUUUACUCACAAAAAAUAGAGAUAGGUUCACACAAAAUUUAUCAAUGUUUAGGAGGGACAUUAAUGAUGCCCUAAAAGGACCUAAUAUAUCAAAUUCAGUCAAUGAUAUGAUGACUUCGUAGUAAUGCUCUCUCUGAAUUAGAUUUUCUCGGUUCUUGCCUGCCAAAUGCUUGAAUGUGUGUAUUCUUGUAUUGGCGUAGUAUUGUAAAAGAGAAAGAGAGUGAGAGAGAGGGAGAGAAAGAGAACAAGAGCAAAAACGCAAAUCAUGAUAUAUUCAUUAUUGAAAAUUUAUUCGAGUAAAAGAGCUGCUAUGAAAUUAUAUUAUUCAGUGAGUUGCGAAUAAUGUGAACGAUGUAAAUGAGGAUAUCAUUAAAUUUAUCAUACAAAGACUCACUUAAGAAUAUAUAGUUAUUAUUACAUUGCAUUAUCAUUGACAUUACUUCAUCAAGAAAGAAGAUAGAUGAACGAAAUAGAUAUUAAACGUUACGUAAUAUUCGUUAAUUAUUUUACAAUAUAAUAACUUUAAAAUUGAUUAUAUGUAAAAAGCUUAUCACAUUUUGAACAAUUGUCUGUCUAGCAGCAGAUUGUGUCAAUAGAAUCUUACAUCACAAACUUC